AGAUUUAUGAAAUAAUUCUGUAGUUGAGAGUCUUCAUAUCAGAAAACAGGAAGCAAUAAUAAAAGAGGAAUCGAGAAAAUUCCGUGGCGAAAGAUACGAAGACCCCGAAUCAGGGGUCGCCAUCCACGGAUUCGAAUCUUUUACACCAAAUAUUCCAUUUAAUAAAAAUCCGAAUGAAGAACAUACGUAUAACGAAGAAUAUAAAUAGAACAACAAAUAUACCAAAUAACGAUCCAAUUAAUUCUCAAUAGAAAAAUAAAAAAUAUUUUAUCAAGUAAACGAGUAAGUAACAAUUCGAACAGCGAUUAAUCGAAAUCUAAAUUUCAGUAUCAAACUCUCCAAGAGAGAAACUUUAAGAAUCACGUACCGAAGGAUCGUACAUCGUACAAACAAUCCAAUUCCGCCUAAUCAAAAGAAGUAAUCCACACGUUAUGCAAAACCUAAUCUGACCUAGUAAGAUUCUCCAAAAUACCAAGUUCUUCGUAACUUUGUCGAACUUCAACAUCGCGUUCGAUUCCAUCCGAAAUCUCACUCCUUGUUGUAGAAACUUGCCGGCGGCUGUUCGUUAAACGCAAUAUUAGCAGAGAUCGAGUCUCGAUCCAGCUCGUGCACGCUCGUAUGCUCGCGAGGAGGAACUCUCGCGCGGAAUAAGCCAUUUUG